AGGAAAAAGAUAUCAAGCAAGAUACAGAAAUGAGAUGAUUGAAAAUCGAAGCCAAUAUUUUAUUACAGUAUUAGCAUCACCAAGGCAUGAGGAUAUACUUCAUUUAUUCAUCAAUCUCAUUCUCAUACUUUACAAACUCUUACAACCAAUUUUCGUUCAUACCUUCCAAUUACACCACAAUAAAUUGGCAUUUGCAUAAAGAAGAAAAUAGAAAGAAGAAUAAGAAAAGGGAAAAGGAAAAGGUGUGUCCACCAAGCUUUGCUCUCCACCAAGCUUUGCACUCCACCAACUCCCUUCCCCACCACCACACGCAAGAAUGCAUUAACAUUCCCUUAUACCUGCAGCAAUGUUAUAACAGAGAAUUUCUUGCAUAGUCGAACACCAUCACAAACAUCAAUUUACAGCAACUCACUCCCAUCCAUCAUCUGGAGAAAUCAACAACAAAAGCCACCAACAACAAGCAUAGAAGGUCAAGCGCGAGAGUAAGAACUACACAAGGAGUUAGAGUACCUUAGCAAAACUUUGCUAUCAGGUUGAGCUGUGAUGGGCGAUGAAGUGUUGUUGCUGAGUGGAGUUUUUGUCGAACUUAAAGUAGGCUCAGAAAGGGUACAUGUCUUCAUACAUGUAUCUCAGUUAUGCAUUCCGCUGUAAACACUGAUUAUUUCAGUUACGCCUUCCGUUGCAAACUCUGAUAAUAUUUUAGCCAAGCCCCUAACGAUGCCUUUUUCCUUUUAAGGAAUAUAACGCGUAUACAAGUUCUUUGAGUACCCUUUUUAUGCGAACUAUGCCUUUUUCCUUUUAAGGAAUAUAACACGUAUACAAGUUCUUUGA